UACGUAGGGUGCAAGCGUUGUCCGGAAUUAUUGGGCGUAAAGAGCUCGUAGGCGGUCUGUCGCGUCUGUUGUGAAAAUCCAGGGCUCAACCCUGGACCUGCAGUGGGUACGGGCAGACUAGAGUGCGGUAGGGGAGAUCGGAAUUCCUGGUGUAGCGGUGAAAUGCGCAGAUAUCAGGAGGAACACCGGUGGCGAAGGCGGAUCUCUGGGCCGUAACUGACGCUGAGGAGCGAAAGCAUGGGGAGCGAACAGG
rnacentral:rRNA from 1 species